rnacentral:lncRNA from 1 species
AUGUUUAUUCAGAGUAGACAGCAACACCUUAACAACGAGUAGUCUGAUCUGCUGUCGAACCAAACCGCAAUCUAUCGUGAUUCCGGCCUCUACGUAAUCCACCCAGUUGACUACGAACGGAAGGAAUCCCCAAAACAGUUUUGAGAGUUAUUUUUCUUUGAAGGCUGCUAGACUCAAACAAAGAAAAAUGAGAUUAUAUAUAUCCUUUUAUUUUAG